rnacentral:pre_miRNA from 1 species
AGUAGGGUGAUUUUGUGUCUAAGUGAUGAUAAACUACUUUGAAAGAAAUGGAUCCUAGGUAGUUUUCUCUAGCAACUUGCUGUU